rnacentral:snRNA from 1 species
UUGCUUUGGCAGCAGAUAUAUUAAAACUGGAACGUUACAGAGAUUAGCGUGGCCCCUGCGCAAGGAUGAUAUGCAGAUCCAUGAAGCGUUCCAUAUUUUU